rnacentral:rRNA from 1 species
AUGGGGUUUAAAGACCUUCGGACGUUCAAUCAAGCCCUCUUAGCACGGCAAGCCUGGCGUCUUAUUCAGUUUCCGGAAAGUCUCUGUGCACAGGUUCUGCGGGCCAAGUACUAUCCGGAUGGGUCCAUUCUUGACACUGUCUUUACCGGGAACGGAUCGUCAACAUGGAACGCCAUUGAGCAUGGCCUGCAAUUAGUGAAGCAGGGGUAUGUUUGGCGGGUGGGAAAUGGUACUGGCAUACGUAUUUGGCAUGACCCGUGGUUGCCGAGAGGGCCUCCCUUUAAGCCAAUCACGCCGAAACGACGGUGCCGACUGAAAUGGGUGGCUGACCUUCUGAAUUUUGAUGGGUCUUGGAACAUUUCACUCCUCAGACAAUACUUCUAUCCGGCUGAUGUUAUAGAGAUUCUGAAAAUAAAAACAUCUCGCCGAGGGGAGGCUGAUUCUAUUGCUUGGCAACCAGACAAGCAUGGUCGUUUCUCUGUGAAGUCAGCGUACAAUUUUGCAAGGGAUGAUAUCUUGGCUCGAAUGGGGACUGCUGCAUGUAGUACUCGGCCUGAUGGCUCAAGGCCGGGGUGGAAAAUGCUAUGGAGUUGUGGAGCACCACCCAAAGUCUGUGUGUUUGCUUGGAAAGCUGCUAGGGAAGCACUGGCCACUAGGUUCAACAAGAUGAAACGCCAUAUGGAGGUUGAUGGAGUGUGCAGCAUUUGUGGACAGGAAGAUGAAUCAGUUCAUCAUGCACUCGUACGCUGCCCCCACGCUCGGAACUUGUGGAAUGUUAUGAGGCUAGUUUGGGACCUGCCAUCGGAGGAGGUUCUUAGUAGAAGAGAACCAGAUUGGUUGUUACUGCUGUUACACGAAUUAUCUGAGACCCAACGGAUGCUUGUGCUCAUGGUGUUAUGGCGUGCUUGGCAUAUACACAAUGAAUUGACUCAUGACAAGCCCCUGAUUCCAAUAGAGGUGUCCAAGAGGUUCCUUUGUGAUUAUGUGCAAUCCCUGUUGACAAUUAAGCACUACCCACAUGCGGAUACUAUCAAAGGGAAACUGCCUGUCCUGACAGAGUUAAGCAAUUUUGUUCCUGUCACUAGCAAUACAAAAUGUUUGGUCAGUCCUGUUGCUUGGGAACCCCCACCGGACGGACAUGUCAAACUGAAUUUUGAUGGCUCGUUCGUUGUCGCUGAUGGGUCUGCGGGAGCAGGCAUGGUACUGCGCGAUCACUUGGGCCAAGUAAUUUUUGCGGCGUGUAGAUGGCUGUAUGAUUGCCCGGGACCACUGGAGGCCGAGAUUGCUUCAUGUGCUGAAGGGCUUAACUUAGCUCUGCAUUGGUCCCAGAAACCCAUCUUAGUGGAAACAGACUGUGCUGAACUUGUGUCCAUGAUCAAGACUGGACCGGCGGAUCGAUCUAGUAGCAUGUACCUUAUUUCAGAAAUCACGGAGAUGCUAAAGGAGCGACACUCCCAAGUUUGGAAGAUCACUCGUGCGCAGAACAAGGUUGGACACGCUCUGGCAGCGAUAGGGCGUGGACAGCAAAGGACGGCUUGUUGGCUCGCAAAUGUUCCUCAGGAGAUUAGCAUUGUCGUUAUGAAUGAUUGUAACACUAUGAUCAAUUAA